AUGAUUCAGAGGUUUGCAAAGCAAGAAGAGGGAGCCCCUAAGCUUCGGAUCACAGGUAUAGACAUUCCUCAGCCAGGUUUACGCCCCUGUGAAAUGAUCGAGGAGACAGGGAAGCGGUUGGCUGAUUAUGCAAACAUGUUCAAGGUACCUUUUCAGUAUCAGGGCAUUGCCGCUUCAAGAUGGGAGACCAUUAAAAUUGAGGAUCUUAACAUUGAGGAGGGUGAAGUCCUCAUCAUCAACUGCAUGCUCCGGAUGAAGAAUCUUGGUCAUGAAACCAUAGCCAUAAAUAGCACAAGGGACGAGGUAAUCAAAACUAUGAGGAGGAUGAACCCAAAGAUUUUUAUUUCUGGCACCGUGAAUGGGUUACGCAGUUCUCCCUUCUUCAUACAACGUUUCAAAGAGGUUAUGUUCCAUUACUCUUCAAUGUUUGACAUGCUUGAUGCAAAUAUUCCACGGGAUAAUGAAGCAAGAAAGACAAUUGAGAGGGUCCUAUUUGGGCGGGAUGCACUUAAGAGCAUAGCAUGUGAGGAUGCAGAAUGGACCAAGAGGCGGGAAAGUUACAGGCAGUGGCAAGCAAGGUUCCUCAAGGCUGGGUUCCAGCAGCUUCCUGUUGAUCCAGCCAUUUUAAAGAAAAUAGUACAAAAGAAGAACUCACUUUAUCAUGAGGAAUUCUUUGCUGUUGAAGAUUGCGGUUGGCUACUGCAAGGAUGGAAAGGGAGAGUAAUUUAUGCAAUAUCUAAAUGGAAACCUGAUGAAACAUACGAUGGUCAGUAA
rnacentral:rRNA from 1 species